rnacentral:rRNA from 1 species
GGGUGAGUAACGCGUGGGAACGUACCUUUUGGUUCGGAACAACACAGGGAAACUUGUGCUAAUACCGGAUAAGCCCUUACGGGGAAAGAUUUAUCGCCGAAAGAUCGGCCCGCGUCUGAUUAGCUAGUUGGUGAGGUAAUGGCUCACCAAGGCGACGAUCAGUAGCUGGUCUGAGAGGAUGAUCAGCCACAUUGGGACUGAGACACGGCCCAAACUCCUACGGGAGGCAGCAGUGGGGAAUAUUGGACAAUGGGGGCAACCCUGAUCCAGCCAUGCCGCGUGAGUGAUGAAGGCCCUAGGGUUGUAAAGCUCUUUUGUGCGGGAAGAUAAUGACGGUACCGCAAGAAUAAGCCCCGGCUAACUUCGUGCCAGCAGCCGCGGUAAUACGAAGGGGGCUAGCGUUGCUCGGAAUCACUGGGCGUAAAGGGUGCGUAGGCGGGUCUUUAAGUCAGGGGUGAAAUCCUGGAGCUCAACUCCAGAACUGCCUUUGAUACUGAGGAUCUUGAGUUCGGGAGAGGUGAGUGGAACUGCGAGUGUAGAGGUGAAAUUCGUAGAUAUUCGCAAGAACACCAGUGGCGAAGGCGGCUCACUGGCCCGAUACUGACGCUGAGGCACGAAAGCGUGGGGAGCAAACAGGAUUAGAUACCCUGGUAGUCCACGCCGUAAACGAUGAAUGCCAGCCGUUAGUGGGUUUACUCACUAGUGGCGCAGCUAACGCUUUAAGCAUUCCGCCUGGGGAGUACGGUCGCAAGAUUAAAACUCAAAGGAUUUGACGGGGGCCCGCACAAGCGGUGGAGCAUGUGGUUUAAUUCGACGCAACGCGCAGAACCUUACCAGCCCUUGACAUGUCCAGGACCGGUCGCAGAGAUGUGACCCUCUCUUCG